AUUGCAUUCAGCUGUUGGUGGGAGGAGAAACCUGCAGCAGUUGCUUGCAGCUGUUGUAUUAUUCCUUAUUUCACUCUUCAGCGGUGACCGAGAUAUUGAGCCAUUUGAAUGCUGUUCUACACACGGUGUAGCGAGUAGACUAUGGGCUGGAGCAAGCUGCUCCUUGUUUUCGUUCACGCUGCCUGGAUGCUCGUGGCACCGCCUCUCGCAGCAGGGACUCUGUGCCCCCCGAAUUACUGCGACAACGUCACGUGCACGCCGAUCAAGUCCAGCGAGUGUGACGGAAAGGUGGAGGCCAGAGCCAGCGACUGCGGCUGCUGCGAGCAGUGCGUCAAGCAGCUCAAUGAAGGCGACGCGUGCUUUGAUUUAACCGUGUAUGGGGUCCGAAAGUGGGGUGAGUGCAAGAGGGGCUUAAAGUGCAACAGAAAGCUUUCCAAGUGCGAGAGAUCCCGCAAUGGGCCCUUCGAGGACGACGACGACGAAGACAAGAUGCAAGCCAUACUCGACUAUUUGUAAACCUCAUUUUCUGUCUGACAACGGCGCCUCGACCGUGUGUCGCACGUCCACGCAUGCGCGAAACCAGCACACCUACCGUACGCCCGACCAACACAGACGCGCAGGUCCGUACAGAUGUGUUUACGACAUAUACAGAUGCGCGCAAGAUUCUCCGACAUUUUUGUCAACUGCUACAGCAGCCAAUCAAAUUUAGUGUCUGGCGAGGCUGUCUCACUAUUGGCCACAAUUAUUUGGCGCUAACAAGCGCAUGUCCAAUAAUACGACGGAGGCGCCCUUUCUAGCAGCAUCAAAGAAAUAAAAGAGCGCGCGCCUACGGUGUUUUAAUAAACGUCGUGAUAUAAGCCAA